rnacentral:rRNA from 1 species
AUACGUAGGUGGCAAGCGUUGUCCGGAAUUAUUGGGCGUAAAGCGCGCGCAGGUGGUUCCUUAAGUCUGAUGUGAAAGCCCCCGGCUCAACCGGGGAGGGUCAUUGGAAACUGGGGAACUUGAGUGCAGAAGAGGAUAGUGGAAUUCCAAGUGUAGCGGUGAAAUGCGUAGAGAUUUGGAGGAACACCAGUGGCGAAGGCGACUGUCUGGUCUGUAACUGACACUGAGGCGCGAAAGCGUGGGGAGCAAACAGGAUUAGAUCCCCUGGUAGUCCACGCCGUAAACGAUGAGUGCUAAGUGUUGGGGGGUUUCCGCCCCUCAGUGCUGCAGCUAACGCAUUAAGCACUCCGCCCGGGGAGUACGGUCGCAAGACUGAAACUCAAAUGAAUUGACGG